rnacentral:lncRNA from 1 species
CCCAUUAUCCGAGCUAAAUGUUGGGUCGUAAUUGUUAGAUAAAUUAAGUCUAUGAAAAUUGUUUUUGGUAGAUUUUUCUAAUGCUUCCAUUUCAUCUGACGGAUUCCCGAUGAAAUACAAUCCAUCAAAACUUGUAUGGAAUUCCCGACUAAUUCUCGUCGAAUGUCCAUCCGGUGGAAAUUUCCCCACAAAUUACCGACCAAAUUAUAUACUUAUUAAGUAGUUGUUAUAUACAACACAAAAGUUCGCAAUGAAUUUUCAACGGAAUAUAUAACCGUUAUAUAGUUGUUUUAAAAAGUCAAAAUUUUUGGCAAUCUCCCUUCAGUUGUGACCAAGCCAAAUCUUCCAUAUGUCGUUUCAUGAAGUUCAUCAG